rnacentral:misc_RNA from 1 species
GCGAGAGCCUGUGUUUUCACGGUUUGUGAGAGAGCAAGCGCGCCAUCCUUGUGUUGUGUGUGGUGUUGUGCACUCUGUGCGAGUGCACAUGCAUUUUUCAACAACGCUUUAUUCAUUUCUUCUGAAAAUCUUUUGCUCACACGAGCACAAACAACCGA